rnacentral:rRNA from 1 species
UGGGGAAUUUUGGACAAUGGGCGAAAGCCUGAUCCAGCAAUGCCGCGUGAGUGAAGAAGGCCUUCGGGUUGUAAAGCUCUUUCGGACAGAACGAAAUCUCUUGCUCUAACAUAGCGAGAGUCUGACGGUACUGUAAUAAGAAGCACCGGCUAACUACGUGCCAGCAGCCGCGGUAAUACGUAGGGUGCGAGCGUUAAUCGGAAUUACUGGGCGUAAAGCGUGCGCAGGCGGUUAUAUAAGCCAGAUGUGAAAGCCCCGAGCUUAACUUGGGAAUUGCGUUUGGAACUGUAUAACUAGAAUUCAGCAGAGGGGGAUGGAAUUCCACGUGUAGCAGUGAAAUGCGUAGAGAUGUGGAGGAACACCAAUGGCGAAGGCAGUCCCCUGGGCUAGAAUUGACGCU